rnacentral:rRNA from 1 species
GAUGAACGCUGGCGGCGUGCUUAACACAUGCAAGUCGAACGAAACAGCCUAUUUGAUUUUCUUCGGAACUGAUGGAUUGGUGCAUGAGUGGCGGACGGGUGAGUAACGCGCGGGUGACUUGCCCUGUACCCGGGGAUAACCGUCAGAAAUGCCUGCUACUACCGCAUCAGACAACAGCACCGCAUGGUGCAGGGGUUAAAACUCCGGUGGUACUGGAUGUAAUUGCGUCUGAUUAGGUGGUUGGUGAGGGAACGGCACGCCACGGGGGCGAUCAGUAGCCGGCAUUGGAGAGUGAACGCCCACAAUGGGACUGAGGCACGGCCCAAACUCGUACGGGAGGCAGCGGUGGGGAAUAUUGCACAAUGAAGGAAAGCCUAAUGCAGCGACGCCGCGGGAGGUAAGAAGUAUUUCGGUAUGUAAAGCGCUAUCAACAGGGAAGAAAAUGACGGUACCUGACGAAGAAGCCCCGGCUAACUACGUG